UUCCUUAGGCUUUGUAGUGUUUUGUAUGU
rnacentral:piRNA from 1 species